GGGUAGGGGAGCGUUCUGUAAGCCUGUGAAGGUGGCCUGUGAGGGUUGCUGGAGGUAUCAGAAGUGCGAAUGCUGACAUAAGUAACGAUAAAGCGGGUGAAAAGCCCGCUCGCCGGAAGACCAAGGGUUCCUGUCCAACGUUAAUCGGGGCAGGGUGAGUCGACCCCUAAGGCGAGGCCGAAAGGCGUAGUCGAUGGGAAACGGGUUAAUAUUCCCGUACUUGGUGUUACUGCGAAGGGGGGACGGAGAAGGCUAUGUUGGCCGGGCGACGGUUGUCCCGGUUUAAGCGUGUAGGUGUGUGUUCCAGGUAAAUCCGGUUCACUUUAACACUGAGGCGUGAUGACGAGGCACUACGGUGCUGAAGCAACAAAUGCCCUGCUUCCAGGAAAAGCCUCUAAGCAUCAGGUAACAUCAAAUCGUACCCCAAACCGACACAGGUGGUCAGGUAGAGAAUACCAAGGCGCUUGAGAGAACUCGGGUGAAGGAACUAGGCAAAAUGGUGCCGUAACUUCGGGAGAAGGCACGCUGACAUGUAGGUGAAGUGAUUUACUCAUGGAGCUGAAGUCAGUCGAAGAUACCAGCUGGCUGCAACUGUUUAUUAAAAACACAGCACUGUGCAAACACGAAAGUGGACGUAUACGGUGUGACGCCUGCCCGGUGCCGGAAGGUUAAUUGAUGGGGUCAGCGCAAGCGAAGCUCCUGAUCGAAGCCCCGGUAAACGGCGGCCGUAACUAUAACGGUCCUAAGGUAGCGAAAUUCCUUGUCGGGUAAGUUCCGACCUGCACGAAUGGCGUAAUGAUGGCCAGGCUGUCUCCACCCGAGACUCAGUGAAAUUGAACUCGCUGUGAAGAUGCAGUGUACCCGCGGCAAGACGGAAAGACCCCGUGAACCUUUACUAUAGCUUGACACUGAACAUUGAGCCUUGAUGUGUAG
rnacentral:rRNA from 1 species